UACGAGAGGCCCAAACGUUAUUCGGAAUUACUGGGCUUAAAGAGUUCGUAGGCGGCAUGAAAAGUAGGGUGUGAAAGCCCUCGGCUCAACCGAGGAAUUGCGCUCUAAACUGUCGUGCUAGAGGAACCUAGAGGUGAGCAGAACUGAUGGUGGAGCGGUGAAAUGCGUAGAUAUCGGAAGGAACAUCAGUGGCGAAAGCGGCUUCCUGGACCAGUACCGACGUUCAGGCACGAAAGCGUGGGGAGCAAACAGG
rnacentral:rRNA from 1 species